rnacentral:rRNA from 1 species
UACGGAGGGUGCGAGCGUUAAUCGGAAUUACUGGGCGUAAAGCGCGCGUAGGCGGUUUGAUAAGCUGGAUGUGAAAUCCCCGGGACCGUCAACCUGGGAAUUGCAUCCAGAACUGUCUGACUAGAGUACAGUAGAGGUGAGUGGAAUUUCCUGUGGUAGCGGUGAAAUGCGUAGAUAUAGGAAGGAACAUCAGUGGCGAAGGCGACUCACUGGACUCGAUACUGACGCUGAGGUGCGAAAGCGUGGGGAGCGAAACAAGGA